rnacentral:rRNA from 1 species
GAGUUUGAUCCUGGCUCAGGAUGAACGCUGGCGGCGUGCCUAAUACAUGCAAGUCGAGCGGUAAGGCCUCUUCGGAGGUACACGAGCGGCGGACGGCUGAGUAACGCGUAGGAACGUACCCCAAACUGAGGGAUAAGCACCAGAAAUGGUGUCUAAUACCGCAUGUGCUCCACGGAGUAAAGCUUCAGCGGUUUGGGAACGGCCUGCGUACGAUUAGAUUGUUGGUGAGGUAAUGGCUCACCAAGUCGACGAUCGUUAGCUGGUCUGAGAGGAUGAUCAGCCAGACUGGGACUGAGAACGGCCCAGACUCCUACGGGAGGCAGCAGUAGGGAAUUUUCCACAAUGGGGGCAACCCUGAUGGAGCAACGCCGCGUGCAGGAUGAAUGCCUUCGGGUUGUAAACUGCUUUUAUAUGUGACGAAUAUGACGGUAGCAUAUGAAUAAGGAUCGGCUAACUCCGUGCCAGCAGCCGCGGUCAUACGGAGGAUCCAAGCGUUAUCCGGAAUUACUGGGCGUAAAGAGUUGCGUAGGUGGCAGAGUAUGUCUGUAGUGAAAGCGUGUGGCUCAACCAUAUACACAUUACAGAAACUGCUCAGCUAGAGGACGAGAGAGGUUAUUGGAAUUCCUAGUGUAGGAGUGAAAUCCGUAGAUAUUAGGAGGAACACCGAUGGCGUAGGCAGAUAACUGGCUCGUUCCUGACACUAAGGCACGAAAGCGUGGGGAGCAAACGGGAUUAGAUACCCCGGUAGUCCACGCCGUAAACGAUGGAUGCUAGCUGUUAUAGGUAUCGACCCCUGUAGUAGCGAAGCUAACGCGUUAAGCAUCCCGCCUGUGGAGUACGGUCGCAAGACUAAAACAUAAAGGAAUUGACGGGGACCCGCACAAGCGGUGGAGCGUGUUGUUUAAUUCGAUGGUAAACGAAGAACC